CACAUAUAUAUAGAGAGAGAGAGUAUUGUUUGUGUUGGUUUUUACUAUGGCCGGCCUAUGCAAAGUUUCAUAGUUAUGGUUGGAGACAUGAGUGAAGUGUGGUUGUGAUGUAUAUAUAAAAUAACAAGUGGACAGUUGAGAAGAGAUAAAGAAACGAUUUUUUUUUGGUAUAUUCCUAUUUUUUUUUUUUGGCUUAGGAAUUAGUAGUACUCGCUAAUCUAUUGUGUUAAAGGCGGUUAAUCUUGAGCUAUUUGAAAUUUUGUUUUGGGAUUUGUAGACUCCUUGGUCUAUUAGUUAUGGUUGCUUGAUUUGGUUCUUUAUGUUCAAUUCUUGUUUGUUCUUGAUUUUUAAUCCCAUUUUAAUUUGUCAUUGUUGAUUUUGUUCUAUAAUUUCCUUUCUCUGGUUAUUGUUUCUUGACUUUUGUUAGAAUUAACACUGUUCCAUGCAGUUUGUGUGUGUGUGUGUGUGUUGAUUGAUGCCCUUUCUUGUUUUCAGCUUUAGCUGCUUAUAUUUUUUUCCACAUACUUUUCAUAAUCUUUAAGUUGUUAACAAAUUUUAUCUUCUAAAAGCAUUUACUUUUACUUUCUUUCUUUUCUUUUUUUUUUUUUUUUUUUUUUUUUUUUUUUUUUUCAUUUGCUUUAGAUUGGAUUUCCACCAAUUGUGAUGUUUUUUUUUUCCUUGCUCUUUUAAACUUUAUGUCAACAUGCUUUUCAUUGCAAAAUUUUUCUUUUAAAAGGCUUUAUUUUCUUUUAUUUUUUUCUAAUAUUUGCUGUUGGUGUUGCUCUUCAUUAUAAUUGAAUUUGCCAAGUAAAAUGUCCUUAUUUUAAUUAUAUAUUUAUGAAUCAUCAGUUUAGCUCUUUGCUGAAACAUUAGCUUAAAAGCAUGGCCAAUUCUAUAACACUCACAGAUCCCCUACUUUGAUAAAAUAAAAAUACUAGUCUAUAGGCUCUGCUAAGUGUUUGGAUUGUUGUCUCUUAAGGAGAUCACCUCUGCUAUCAUUAUAUAGCAUACGAAACUUAUUCCGCAAUACAUGAUCACAUUUCUCUGAGUGGCAAUUAUAUCUACUUCUGAUUCCAUAAUUCUAGUCUAUAAGCUUGAUCAUCUUUUUUAGUUAAUAAUAAGAUUCUUAUUAUUAUUAUUAUUUUUUUGACAUGUCACUAGAAGUAGAGGGCGACACCUUCCAAUAUUGUUGCCGUAUUUAGCACUUCCUACUCGAUAAAUCUUAAUGCCAUUGAAUGAUUUAUAGUAUCUUUUUUUUUUUAGUCAGUUUCUAGCAUUUUUUUCUAGUUUUUUUCAGUCAAUAGUAUCCUAGCACUUGGGUUGCCAGUUGCCUACAGUAGUUAUAUAUUAUAUAUUGCAUACAUCAAAAUCCUGGAGUUGCAUCCAAGAGAAUUUAAAAUUAGUUCUGAUAGUGAUUAAUUACAAUUGGUUUAGUAUUGAUUAGUCAAGAAGAUUCUUUGAUGGGAUCAGAAGUAGUUUUUGGUUCAUCUCGCAGGUCCUAUGAUGAUGAGAAGGCUGAAAGUACUGUGAAUUUUUUAGUUGUAAGAAAAAGAAUAAACAAAUGUCUGAACAUAUAAUAAGCUGCAUAAAGUCUGAGCUGGGGAAGCCUGAGUUACAUAGUUUUUGAUGAAGGUUUGUGGCAAUGGCUUCUUGGUUAUGAUGUUUACUCAUGUAUGACACAAGACAAUGCUUAUUGACACAAAACCGAAAUGGAAGUCAAUAAAAAACUGUAAUCUAAUUAAAUUAGCUCAUUAGAACUAUCCAGAUGAAGUUAGAAUUAGGGAAGGCACCAACUCGUGCUCAACUAUUUUGCGCAACACAUAAGAGCAAGAAGGAUGACAAAGCUAGUGAUGAACAUGCUGCCAAAAUGAUUGCAGACACAACUAGAAGAGCUUGCUGCAACUUAGCCUUUUAACCCAGAUGAACCUUCACCCCAUGAAAUGAAGGAGACAGUGGAAAAGAUACGUGUUGAGUAUGAUGAAAAAUAUGAAGCUUUGAAUGCAAAAAUGGCUAUGAUUUUACGUCAUAUUGAACAUUAAAAUUCUAAUGUACAGGUACCCGGUUCCUCAACUAUACUUGGUGAUCCUUAAAUUUUAGUUUUGGUCAUGAAAUUUCGUCCUUGGGCAAUUUGAAGCAAGACGAAAGAUGAAGUUGAACCAUUAAUUCUCAAGACCCUCGCAUAGUCUCACUCAAUUUCUCAACAAAAUGUUGAUGUUUUAUUUUGAAUGAUUUCCUUUUGAAGCUUUAUUACAUUUUUGUGUUUCUUUUUGAACCUUUUAUUAGCACUUGACAUUUUGAAACAAAACUUAUAUGUUAUGGGAUGUUAUUGAAUUUUAAUGCAAUUUUGUUUUAUGUUACAUAUUAAA